CCCCAAUUUCACAGCUUGGAGGCGGAGGCUGGAAGAGCUGACCAGCCCCAAAGCUAGUCAGUGAAGGCAUCUCGCUCCCUUCUACAAAGGGAGAGCCCAGGUGAGUUUUAGAGGCUUGGUCCGGGUGAGGUAAGACCCAGCCGUCAUUGUUCUCAGGGACCAUCCCAGCACAUCCUCUGUUUCCUCUCUGGGGCCAGUUUCUCCAGCUAUGAAAGGAUGGUAAUUAUAGGUGCCCCGCAGCUGGCUUUGUGAGUAGGAAAUGAGAAGCUCUAUAUGAAAGCAGGUCCAGUUUAUGGAGCAAAAACACCCCCAUAAAAUCCAGGGCGAUGCUGUCAUUAUAAACGUUUAAGCCCAUUUGCCACAUGAAUGGUGGGCAAAGUCACGGCUUCGUCACCCACGCUUCAGGAGGCCAGUCCUCGGGGUCCCUCCAAAAGCAGGCAAGCAGGUGCCGGGCACCUCCCCGCAGGUCAGGGAUGGGUUUCCUAGGCCUCCUCCUCCUCCUCCUCUCCGCCCCCCUCCCCCAUGCUGCUAGGCCCCCAGGGCUCAGCCCCUCCUACAGAUGCUCUUUCCAGAUGCCUAGGACCCGGCCUCCACCGCUACCCCCAGCUCCCAUGUCCUGGGCUCCUCACGACCCGCUGGAGCAUCCCAGAACCUCUCCAGAGAAUGGCCCUGCUCCAGGGCUGUGAGCUGCCCUCCUCCGCCACCUGGGCAUCCCAGACCCCACCAAGGGCCACACAGCACCGUGCAGACAACAGGAGGGAAGGGGGCCAACUGAGCCUCCCUGCCCCAGAAUAGACUUUGAAGAGUUCUGGGGAGAAGGUGGGUUUUCCCCUUUUCUCUUUAUGUCUAAAACGGAGCAGCUCUUCUGGCUGCUGGGCAGGGUGGUGGGGGAGGGGAGCCGACAUCCUCCAGCCACGUGUCAUUUCCUGCUUUGGGCGUGAUGUCACUGCCAAUGACAGAGCCUCUCCCUCUCCCAAGGCACUCUGGGCUGAUGAUGACAACAUUCAGACUGGAGAGGGAAGGUGAAGCCUGGGCCUGCGUUUUACUGAAGGUCUCAGGCUCCCGUCUCUCAGUCUGCCUGCCCGCCCCUCUCCUGCCUUCACUGAGAGCCUUCGAGUGCCCUCUGCAUGCGUGGUACUCCGGUGGUGGUGCCAUCUCUUAAGAGAGAGAUGUGAUCUAGUUGAAAUAUAUUUAGUGGGGGUCCCAAAAUUUUGAGAUCAGUUUCCCCUGUAGAAUAAUGGAAACCCAAGAACCAUCCCAGCAGUAAAAUUGUAUCAGUCAUUCUGCAACAGUAUCACGUUCUCUUCUUCUGUGCCCUCAGAGAAGGCCCAGGGGACAAGCCAUCUCAGUCUCUCCUUCCUGUGACACUUACGUAAAAGAGCCCUGUCUGCUUCUUUGACUGAGUGCACACAUCCAGGUUUAUAAUAAAAGCAUCUCUUUAUGAAGAUGGAGG
rnacentral:lncRNA from 1 species